rnacentral:tRNA from 1 species
GGAUAGCUCAGUUGAUUAGAGCAUGGUGCUGCUAACACCAAGGUUGCAGGUUCGAUCCCCAUGUGGGACA